GUCUACAGUGGCAUUUGGUUAGCGAGCGGUACUUAUAAUGGCGAGGCUGUGAGUUCGAUCCUCACCUGGGAAA